AACACAGGUGCUAAGACAGAUAAAAAGCAGGACAAUCAAGAAAUCUCAGAAAACGGGAAAAAGGGACAAAAACUAGUAAUUGAACUGGAGAGAAACGCUGAAAGAAAAAGAUCUUGAUCCUAAACGAAAAUCUGCAAAUAGAAGAGAUAUCCAAUUGAUUAUAAGAGCAAAUAGAUAAGACUUCAGGAAUCAAUAGUUUGGAAAGCUCUGCGUGUUGCUUGUGUUGAGAAGCCAUAUGAGAAAUGUCAAAAUUCUGCUUUUUUGUCACUAGUUAUCAGGGGAGAGCGCGAACGCAGUCCCCCACUACCACAAAUUAUGCAGUCGAGUUUCCCGCAUUUGGGGAAAUCGCAGGGGUCAGCCCAUCCGGCAAUGGAUAAGCCUCGCCCUGGGGAAACCACCUUCGUGAUCAUGGAAUCACCCCUGCCAGUUAUGCAGUCGAGUUUCCCGCAUUUGGGGAAAUCGCAGGGGUCAGCCCAUCCGGCAAUGGAUAAGCCUUGCCCUGGGAAAACCA
rnacentral:lncRNA from 1 species